rnacentral:lncRNA from 1 species
UUCCAUUUAGCAUUCUAUUUAGGGUAUUACAUUGGUUUUUUUGAAAUUCUGUUAUUGGCAGUUUCUAUUGCCUAUCAAUCCCAUUUAAAGAUAGUGCAUAGGGUAUUCUAAAAUAGCUGUUAAGCAAAGAGAAAAUUGGGCCUGAUAGGGUGAGAAUCACAGCUCUAAUACCUAGAGUGACCUUAUAAUGUAUUGUCCAAAGGAGAUAUUUUUGACAGUGAAAGAGGAGGGUGUUGUUAGUAAUUAUAUCAGGACCAUGGCCUAAACCAGGACUAUCCCAGGCAGCCUGGGACAUAUUUGUACCCCAUCUCUAUUUAAUGCCUUCAUACAAUUCUUUACUUAAUUCUACCAGCCUUUAUUGAGCCUGCUUUCUUUGUCUAGCUGAGUGCCACGUGCUGACAUCACUAAGAUCAAUACAGCAAACUCUGAAAGAUGGACAGAGAGACAGGAGAUGGUCCUUUAUAAUGCAGUGUGAUCUGUGCUGCAAUAGAGAUGGAAGAGUGUUCUGAUCGGCUGGAAAACAACGCACAUGGGAAGCUGUACAGAAAUGAGUGGGGAAAGUUUUGGAAGCUAGAAGUUCAAAACGAGGUGUUGGCAGCACCAUGCUCUCUCUGAAGAUGCUAGGAAGAAUCUGCUCCAUGCCUUUCCAUUCGCUUCUGGGGUUUCCUGCAAGCCCUGACAUUCCUUGGCUUGUGGAUGCAUCACCCCAGUUUCCGUCCCCAUCAUCACAUGGCCUCCUCUCUGUGUGUGCCUCUGCGUUCCCUCUAUUCUUCUUCUAAGGACACCAACACCAGUCAUAGUGGAUUAAGGGUCCACUCCUAACUAAUUACAUCUGCAACAACCCUAUUUCCAAAUAAAGUCACAUUCUAAGAUUCCUAGGGAGAACAUGAAUUUUUGGGGGUGUGUGGAUACUGUUCAACCUGGGACAUGGAGUAAAUAAAUGGCAAGGAAGAUUACAGAUGACUUUAAGCUAAAGAG